UUAACACAUGCAAGUCGAGGGGCAGCAUGGUCUUAGCUUGCUAAGGCCGAUGGCGACCGGCGCACGGGUGAGUAACACGUAUCCAACCUGCCGUCUACUCUUGGACAGCCUUCUGAAAGGAAGAUUAAUACAAGAUGGCAUCAUGAGUCCGCAUGUUCACAUGAUUAAAGGUAUUCCGGUAGACGAUGGGGAUGCGUUCCAUUAGAUAGUAGGCGGGGUAACGGCCCACCUAGUCUUCGAUGGAUAGGGGUUCUGAGAGGAAGGUCCCCCACAUUGGAACUGAGACACGGUCCAAACUCCUACGGGAGGCAGCAGUGAGGAAUAUUGGUCAAUGGGCGAGAGCCUGAACCAGCCAAGUAGCGUGAAGGAUGACUGCCCUAUGGGUUGUAAACUUCUUUUAUAAAGGAAUAAAGUCGGGUAUGGAUACCCGUUUGCAUGUACUUUAUGAAUAAGGAUCGGCUAACUCCGUGCCAGCAGCCGCGGUAAUACGGAGGAUCCGAGCGUUAUCCGGAUUUAUUGGGUUUAAAGGGAGCGUAGAUGGAUGUUUAAGUCAGUUGUGAAAGUUUGCGGCUCAACCGUAAAAUUGCAGUUGAUACUGGAUAUCUUGAGUGCAGUUGAGGCAGGCGGAAUUCGUGGUGUAGCGGUGAAAUGCUUAGAUAUCACGAAGAACUCCGAUUGCGAAGGCAGCCUGCUAAGCUGCAACUGACAUUGAGGCUCGAAAGUGUGGGUAUCAAACAGGAUUAGAUACCCUGGUAGUCCACACGGUAAACGAUGAAUACUCGCUGUUUGCGAUAUACUGCAAGCGGCCAAGCGAAAGCGUUAAGUAUUCCACCUGGGGAGUACGCCGGCAACGGUGAAACUCAAAGGAAUUGACGGGGGCCCGCACAAGCGGAGGAACAUGUGGUUUAAUUCGAUGAUACGCGAGGAACCUUACCCGGGCUUAAAUUGCAGAUGAAUUACGGUGAAAGCCGUAAGCCGCAAGGCAUCUGUGAAGGUGCUGCAUGGUUGUCGUCAGCUCGUGCCGUGAGGUGUCGGCUUAAGUGUCAUAACGAGCGCAACCCUUGUUGUCAGUUACUAACAGGUUCCGCUGAGGACUCUGACAAGACUGCCAUCGUAAGAUGUGAGGAAGGUGGGGAUGACGUCAAAUCAGCACGGCCCUUACGUCCGGGGCUACACACGUGUUACAAUGGGGGGUACAGAGGGCCGCUACCACGCGAGUGGAUGCCAAUCCCCAAAACCUCUCUCAGUUCGGACUGGAGUCUGCAACCCGACUCCACGAAGCUGGAUUCGCUAGUAAUCGCGCAUCAGCCACGGCGCGGUGAAUACGUUCCCGGGCCUUGUACACACCGCCCGUCAAGCCAUGGGAGCCGGGGGUACCUGAAGUGCGUAACCGCGAGGAGCGCCCUAGGGUAAAACUGGUGACUGGGGCUAAGUCG
rnacentral:rRNA from 1 species